rnacentral:rRNA from 1 species
GCUAAAGCGGGGGGAAGAGCAGGGGUAAGACGGGGGGGGCAAGAGUUAAUCGGAAUGACUGGGCGGAAAGCGCACGCAGGCGGUCUGGCAAGGCGGAUGUGAAAUAGCCGGGAGCAACCGGGGAACUGCAGGCGAAACUGGCAGGCUAGAGGCUUGUAGAGGGGGGUAGAAUUCCAGGUGUAGCGGUGAAAUGCGUAGAGAUCUGGAGGAAUACCGGUGGCGAAGGCGGCCCCCUGGACAAAGACUGACGCUCAGGUGCGAAAGCGUGGGGAGCAAACAGGAUUAGAUACCCCAGUAUUC